ensembl:snoRNA small nucleolar RNA SNORA33
CUGCCAGCUGGAUAAAAUCUGCUUAACUUUCAAGUGUUCUGCAGAAAUGCAAACUAUUGCUGGCAAUAAUAAAGCCAGGGUACGAGCCUUGAAGACUAGGUAGUCAUUGAGGUCCCAAUAAAUGGCUACAUUU